rnacentral:lncRNA from 1 species
CCUAGAUUUGGGAAGACAUUAAACAUAUGAAAAAGGUAAAUUCUAACUAGAGGAACUGCAUCUGUCUUAGGAGUCCAAGCAAUUUGUCAAAAAGCGAAAAUUGAACCCGGUCCCCAAAUAAGUCUGAUACUGCAUAGCUCAAGGUUCUUUAUUUUCCUUUGCAGUUAAUAUAGUCCUUGCCUAUUUUCUUGAAUGACGUAAUAGGAGGGUCUCCUCCUCAUAUUGUGCACCCUUUCCAGAGAAGAGAAAUAAUAACAAUAAUUUUAAAAUAAAACAAAUACAGAAAAAAGUCCAAGAGAAAAGACAGUUUCCAAUUUUAUGGAUAAUUCUGACCAUUUAUUAACUUUGAUCCAUCUAUGGAUUAUUCUGACCAUUAAUUAGCUUUGAUCCAUCCAUUGGUUUCUUAUAUGUGAAGGUAGAUGUAGUAUAUUAAUGGGCUGCAUGUACACUGGACAUAAAAAGAGGAGCUCACAAACAAAA